rnacentral:rRNA from 2 species
ACGGGAGGCAGCAGUGGGGAAUAUUGCACAAUGGGCGAAAGCCUGAUGCAGCGACGCCGCGUGAGUGAAGAAGUAUUUCGGUAUGUAAAGCUCUAUCAGCAGGGAAGAUAAUGACGGUACCUGACUAAGAAGCACCGGCUAAAUACGUGCCAGCAGCCGCGGUAAUACGUAUGGUGCAAGCGUUAUCCGGAUUUACUGGGUGUAAAGGGAGCGUAGACGGCAUGGCAAGUCUGAAGUGAAAGCCCGGGGCUUAACCCCGGGACUGCUUUGGAAACUGUUAAGCUAGAGUGCAGGAGAGGUAAGUGGAAUUCCUAGUGUAGCGGUGAAAUGCGUAGAUAUUAGGAGGAACACCAGUGGCGAAGGCGGCUUACUGGACUGUAACUGACGUUGAGGCUCGAAAGCGUGGGGAGCAAACAGGAUUAGAUACCCUGGUA